rnacentral:lncRNA from 1 species
UGUCUGUCAUCACCACUAAGAAAACAGCUGAAACUCCACAUGGGACAAGAACAGCGUUCAAUAGGGAACAUUCUCUUCAGCAACCAGAAAAUUGCAAAGUCUACACAAACUGAUGUGGUCCUGGGCUGCAUAGGAAAGCAGGCUGAGCAAGACAUAGAGAGGAAGACAACAAGUACCACUCCAUGGCCUACUUCAGUUCCUGCUUUGAAUUACUGCCUUGACUUCUCAAGAUAAUGGACUACAAAUGGAUAUGGGAGGCUUGAGCAAAUACUAUGAAUCUCUCAAGGAGCUAUGGAUUACCUUAAAAGGCUAGACAACAGAGCCACGGCACAGGAAGUCUGCCCUGGAUGCUAUCCUGCUGGGAAUUGGCCCUCUGAAACAGAUCCAUCCACCCGAUGAGUCAUGACAUUAAAAAUGAUGAAGGAAAUGGACUGGUCCCCAGACAAACAGCUCGGGGCAAUACGAUUCCUGCAUCCAAAGGACUAUGGGUUACAGACACCUCUCUCUUCUGGGAUACAACGUGUAAAAGCCGGAUUGAGAUCUCUAUGCCUGUUCUUCAACUGCUGUGGCUACCACUAUUCCAAGAGACAGAAUAAGAAAGUUAAAGACAACAAGAAAUGGGUCUGUAAGGCCCGAAGUGAGUGGUGUGGCAAACGACUGGACUCACUCACAUGAAUAUAAGGCUAAUCCAUUCAGGAACAGACUAAGUCUCGUCCUGACCUACUUGUCGUUUUUCUGUAAAGACCACUCGAGGUUUUAUCAACUUGAUCAACAGGUUUCCUUGUGAUUCAAGGGCCCAUGGCAUGUCUCUGGAUAAGCAGAUUGCCAUGGAUCGAGGUACUCGGCCCUGAGUGGAGAGAGUGAGGGAAUGAAGAACAGACAAACAGACAAACAGGCAGGCACAAGGAAAGCUGGGAUCAGAGAGAAGCUUGUUAAAAGACAGGAUGCUGAAAGAGGAGAUGAAACAUUUCAACCUGAAGGGAAGUGCUUUAAGAUGCAGGAUGUAAAACAAUGAAAUGCUGGAAGAAGAGCUCAAACACUCCAUUCUUUAAAAAGGCUUCUUAAACUCAGGAAAUAAACAACUGAAUAACUUCAGAAA